CCCUUAGAUGUUCUGGGCUGCACGCGCGCUACACUGAUGCGCUCAACGAGUUUACGAACUUGCCCGGAAGGGUUGGUUAAUCUUUUUAAAACGCAUCGUGAUGGGGAUAGAUUAUUGCAAUUAUUAAUCUUCAACGAGGAAUUCCUAGUAAGCGCGAGUCAUCAGCUCGCACUGAUUACGUCCCUGCCCUUUGUACACACCGCCCGUCGCACCUACCGAUUGAAUGGUCCGGUGAAGCCUCCGGAUUGGCGCGCACCUCGGUGCCGCCGAGAAGUUGGCUAAACCUUACCAUUUAGAGGAAGGUGAAGUCGUANCA
rnacentral:rRNA from 1 species